UACGUAGGGUGCAAGCGUUAUCCGGAAUUAUUGGGCGUAAAGAGCUCGUAGGCGGUUUGUCGCGUCGGAUGUGAAAGCCCGGGGCUUAACUCCGGGUCUGCAUUCGAUACGGGCAGACUAGAGUGCGGUAGGGGAGAUCGGAAUUCCUGGUGUAGCGGUGAAAUGCGCAGAUAUCAAGGAGGAACACCGGUGGCGAAGGCGGAUCUCUGGGCCGUAACUGACGCUGAGGAGCGAAAGCAUGGGGAGCGAACAGG
rnacentral:rRNA from 1 species